AGUAACGGCGAGUGAAGCGGCAACAGCUCAAAUUUGAAAUCUGGCCGCAAGGCUCCGAGUUGUAAUUUGUAGAGGAUGUUUCGGGUGUGGUCCAGUCUAAGUUCCUUGGAACAGGACGUCAUAGAGGGUGAGAAUCCCGUAUGUGACUGGGUGCCUAAUCCCAUGUGAAACUCCUUCAACGAGUCGAGUUGUUUGGGAAUGCAGCUCAAAAUGGGUGGUAAAUUUCAUCUAAAGCUAAAUAUUGGCCAGAGACCGAUAGCGCACAAGUAGAGUGAUCGAAAGAUGAAAAGCACUUUGGAAAGAGAGUUAAACAGUACGUGAAAUUGUUGAAAGGGAAGCGCUUGCAACCAGACUUGCACGCAGCUGAUCAUCCGGUGUUCUCACCGGUGCACUCGGUUGCGUUCAGGCCAGCAUCGGUUUUGGUGGUGGGAUAAAGGCCCUAGGAAUGUGGCUCCUCUCGGGGAGUGUUAUAGCCUAGGGUGCAAUGCCGCCUACCGGGACCGAGGACCGCGCUUCGGCUAGGAUGCUGGCGUAAUGGUUGUAAGCGACCCGUCUUGAAACACGGACCAAGGAGUCUAACAUCUAUGCGAGUGUUUGGGUGUCAAACCCAUACGCGUAAUGAAAGUGAACGGAGGUGAGAACCCUUAAGGGUGCAUCAUCGACCGAUCCUGAUGUCUUCGGAUGGAUUUGAGUAAGAGCAUAGCUGUUGGGACCCGAAAGAUGGUGAACUAUGCCUGAAUAGGGUGAAGCCAGAGGAAACUCUGGUGGGAGGCUCGCAGCGGUUCUGACGUGCAAAUCGAUCGUC
rnacentral:rRNA from 1 species